AACGAACGCUGGCGGCAUGCCUAACACAUGCAAGUCGAACGAGACCUUCGGGUCUAGUGGCGCACGGGUGCGUAACGCGUGGGAACCUGCCCUUAGGUUCGGAAUAACUCCCCGAAAGGGGUGCUAAUACCGGAUAAUGUCUUCGGACCAAAGAUUUAUCGCCUUUGGAUGGGCCCGUGUUGGAUUAGCUAGUUGGUAGGGUAAAAGCCUACCAAGGCGACGAUCCAUAGCUGGUCGGAGAGGAUGAUCAGCCACACUGGGACUGCGACACGGCCCAGACUCCUACGGGAGGCAGCAGUGGGUAAUAUUGGACAAUGGGCGAUAGCCUGAUCCAGCAAUGCCGCGUGAGUGAUGAAGGCCUUAGGGUUGUAAAGCUCUUUUACCCGGGAUGAUAAUGACAGUACCGGGAGAAUAAGCUCCGGCUAACUCCGUG
rnacentral:rRNA from 1 species